UCUCUAUUAUUGUUUCAAAUAUUGUAGAUCAACCUGUAAAUUGGUCAUGUCAUGGCAAGUUUUUCAAACUAAUUUGAUUUAUGAUUCUAUCAUAAACAUUUCACAAAAAUGGGCAGGCAAUAAAAGUUCCUAUUUGUACCUGUAAAAACUAAUCAUAAUUUUUUACAUGGUUAGUGAGUUCCAUCAUUGUAGAGAAUUGCAAAGAAGUUUUGUAAGUAAAUGGGGAGAGAUCCAUAUAAUCAAAGAAAACCAGUUUUUUAAAUAAGAUGAAUAAAUGCACCUCUUCAAAGUCUACAGAAUUAUUAAAUGAAGGAAUCUGCUUCAGAAUUACUGACUGCAUGUCGCUGCAACAUCUGUGCUACAAAGAAAAGUUUGGAUUAGGGGACUAUUUGGAGCGUCGGCAGUGCAGUUGGCGCUUGACCGGAUCAUAUUUACAUAUCCAGGUACGAUCUCCGAUAUAUAGUAAUGCGUUCUUCGAAUUUCUUGAUAACAUCCAUCCGACAUUCUUACUGUAAUUACAAAUCGCAUACAACUGCAUAGAAAUUCAAAGAUAUGUGUGAAGUCAACCAACCCUCACUGGCUCUGCGUUGUUGAAUAAAACCUAGUCGCAUUCUUGAGGGUAGGCUCCGAGCUCCUCAGUGGAAUAUAGUGUGUCCGUAUAGUGAGCUUGAUGAUGACGAUUUGUUUUGCU